ensembl:lncRNA
AUGUCGUCCAAAAUGUGGAAAAAAACGUCAUAGUUUAGUAUGUCGUCCAAAAUGUGGAAAAAAAGUCAUAGUUUAGUAUGUCGUCCAAAAUGUGGAAAAAAAGGUCAUAGUUUAGUAUGUCGUCCAAAAUGUGGAAAAAAAGGUCAUAGUUUAGUAUGUCGUCCAAAAUGUGGAAAAAAAGGUCAUAGUUUAGUAUGUCGUCCAAAAUUGCGAAAAAACGUCAUAGUUUAGUAUGUCGUCCAAAAUUGUGAAAAAACGUCAUAGUUUAGUAUGUCGUCCAAAAUGUGGAAAAAAACGUCAUAGUUUAGUAUGUCGUCCAAAAUGUGGAAAAAAACGUCAUAGUUUAGUAUGUCGUCCAAAAUGUGGAAAAAAAGGUCAUAGUUUAGUAUGUCGUCCAAAAUGUGGAAAAAAACGUCAUAGUUUAGUAUGUCGUCCAAAAUGUGG